GUAACUUACAAGAUUAAAAUUAAAUUUGGUUGAUGAUGGUUCUGAACAAAUACAGCUCUUUAAUUUGAGGUAUGCCAUUUUGAAGACUGAGACCCAUGGAGUUUUAUCCUUGAAUAUAAAGGAAAUAGUUGCAAAAGCCUCUAUUUUAUAUAGCAAAAAUGUGAAUCCAGAGACUGAAUUCUCUGAAGGGCCUGUACACCAUAGUAGAUGUUGGUGGAAGCAUUUACACCCAGUCAGCUUGAAGAGUCUCAAAUGGACCCUACCACUGAGAAAACAAGAUGGCAGUCCACUAUGGGGAAUUGAGGAAAAUGGAUUAAUACAAGAGUGCUGUGAUAAUAUACAACCAAGACAGGGUUCUUUUAACAUGGAUUUCAUGAAAUGAAUGAAGACAUAGGUUUCUAACCCAGCACAAAUGGACAGUGGAUUUGACUUUCUAAAGACUUUUUGUAUCACUAAAACAAGUUCAUUUUUGACAUUUGGAGAAGAAAGAUGGCACAUUAACACAGAUGUUAGUUUGUAUGCCUGGAAGUUUUUGCAGUUUGUUUUGUAUGAGUAUGAUCUUGUGGAAUGUUAACUUUAAUAAAAUUUCUUAACAAUUUAAAAUUUCUCA
rnacentral:lncRNA from 1 species